rnacentral:rRNA from 1 species
UACAGAGGUCUCAAGCGUUGUUCGGAUUCAUUGGGCGUAAAGGGCGCGUAGGCGGCGGGGUAAGUCUGGUGUGAAAUCUCGGAGCUCAACUCCGAAAAUGCACUGGAUACUGCUCUGCUUGAGGGCUGGAGAGGAGAUCGGAAUUCACGGUGUAGCAGUGGAAUGCGUAGAUAUCGUGAGGAAGACCAGUGGCGAAGGCGGGUCUCUGGACAGUUCCUGGCGCUGAGGCGCGAAGGCCAGGGGAGCAAACGGG